GACGAACGCUGGCGGCGUGCUUAACACAUGCAAGUCGAACGGAAAGGCCCUGCUUUUGUGGGGUGCUCGAGUGGCGAACGGGUGAGUAACACGUGAGUAACCUGCCCUUGACUUUGGGAUAACUUCAGGAAACUGGGGCUAAUACCGGAUAGGAGCUCCUGCUGCAUGGUGGGGGUUGGAAAGUUUCGGCGGUUGGGGAUGGACUCGCGGCUUAUCAGCUUGUUGGUGGGGUAGUGGCUUACCAAGGCUUUGACGGGUAGCCGGCCUGAGAGGGUGACCGGCCACAUUGGGACUGAGAGACGGCCCAGACUCCUACGGGAGGCAGCAGUGGGGAAUAUUGCACAAUGGGCGGAAGCCUGAUGCAGCAACGCCGCGUGCGGGAUGACGUCCUUCGGGUUGUAAACCGCUUUCGCCUGUGACGAAGCGUGAGUGACGGUAAUGGGUAAAGAAGCACCGGCUAACUACGUG
rnacentral:rRNA from 1 species